rnacentral:lncRNA from 1 species
AGGAAGAGACUUUGAGAGCUAUAGCGAAGAAGAAGAAGGAGGAAGAGGAGGCUGCUAAGGUAGAGAAAGAGAGCGGUGGGGCAGCUGCUGCGGUGCCUAAGAGGAGGAAUAGAUGGGACCAGUCUCAAGACGACGGUAGUGCUGCAGCAAAGAAGGCUAAAACGACGUCAGAUUGGGAUUUGCCUGAUGCUACUCCUGGUAUUGGGCGUUGGGAUGCUACUCCUACGCCAGGGAGAGUUUCUGAUGCCACCCCAUCAGUUGGGAGGAGAAAUAGAUGGGAUGAGACACCAACACCUGGGCGGUUGGCUGAUUCCGAUGCAACCCCAGCAGGUGGAGUUACUCCAGGGGCCACCCCAGCUGGGGUUACAUGGGAUGCUACUCCAAAGGGAUUGGUUACUCCCACGCCGAAACGGCAGAGAUCUAGGUGGGAUGAGACUCCUGCAACCAUGGGAAGUGCGACUCCAAUGGCAUGGGCUACACCAGCGGUUCCUCUUACACCUGGGGUUACUCCUUUUGGCGGUACUGAUUUGCAGACACCAACCCCAAGUAAUCUUCGUGGGCCUAUGACUCCUGAGCAGUAUAAUUUGUUGAGGUGGGAGAAGGAUAUUGAGGAGAGGAAUAGGCCAUUGACUGAUGAGGAGCUUGAUGCUAUGUUCCCACAAGAAGGUUAUAAGAUUUUGGAGCCACCUGCUUCUUAUGUGCCUAUUAGGACACCUGCUCGAAAGCUUCUUGCUACUCCAACUCCUAUGGGAACUCCACUUUAUGCUAUUCCUGAGGAGAAUCGUGGGCAGCAAUUUGAUGUGCCAAAGGAGGCACCUGGUGGAUUGCCAUUUAUGAAGCCGGAGGAUUAUCAGUAUUUUGGG